GUCACGUGAUCAUAGUCAUAUAUUGCCAUCAGAGCGGAAAUGAUAUCCGUUCUGUAACACGCUUAUGUUUGAGGACAACAAUGACUGAAAAACUACCCUAAAACAGGAUUAAUUGUAUAUAUUUCGAUUUGUACAUUGGAAUGGCGAUUCCAUUUUCCAUAUGGAUUACUUAGGGCCUGUUAUUUUGUGUAUUUAUUUUAUUUCGGAUUAGAUUUUAUUCACUUUCACUAUCGAUUCGCCUUGUUGUGAUCGGAAGUGCUUUAUUUUCAAUAUUCAAAUACAGGAAUAUUAAUAUCUGUAACAAAAGGAAUAUGUCCACAAUGAGUCAACAGCAAAUGGAGGGAGGCAUGGAUAAAGAUUGUAGUGCUCUAGGAAUGUUUUUUCAGACAAUUAUAAAUGAUAUGAGGGGUAGUUCAGUUGUCAAUUCUAACACACGACAAGAAGCUCUCAUAAUUUAUAAUGAAAGACAUGGCACCCCACCCCCACUUUUCUUGAGAAAAUAUGGUUUUUAUCGGCCAAUAUUCAUUUGCUAAAAAGAUUUUUUAAUGCAGAGGUCUCAUUAUUGAUUGUUAAUUAUUGAUUGUUAAAAAUAUUAUUUUUAAAAUGUGUUUUACUUUCAGGAUUUUAGUUUUAGCUAAAUUAAUAUAAAUUACAAUAUAAGUUACCGUUGUAGAAGCUUCCAUGUGAGAGUGUGAAAGGUCUUUUAUUGCCAAACGUCAGAUGACCCUUUGUUGAUACAUUUAGCAUUAAAUGCAUUAUAAAAUUUGGGAGGGGG
rnacentral:lncRNA from 1 species